UUAUGGCGUCAGGAGUGAACGACUGGCGGCGUGCCUAACACAUGCAAGUCGAACGGAGUUACGAGAGCUUGCUUUGUAACUUAGUGGCGGACGGGUGAGUAAUGUAUGAGCAACCUGCCUUUCAGAGGGGGACAACAGUUGGAAACGACUGCUAAUACCGCAUAAUGUAUUUUGAGGGCAUCCUCGGGAUACCAAAGGAGCAAUCCGCUGAAAGAUGGGCUCAUAUCUGAUUAGCUAGUUGGUGGGGUAACGGCUCACCAAGGCUGCGAUCAGUAGCCGGACUGAGAGGUUGAACGGCCACAUUGGGACUGAGAUACGGCCCAGACUCCUACGGGAGGCAGCAGUGGGGAAUAUUGGGCAAUGGGCGAAAAAGCCUGACCCAGCAACGCCGCGUGAAGGAAGAAGGUCUUCGGAUUGUAAACUUCUUUUAUGAGGGACGAAGGACGUGACGGUACCUCAUGAAUAAGCCACGGCUAACUACGUGCCAGCCGCCGC
rnacentral:rRNA from 1 species